GAUGAAGAACGUAGCGAAAUGCGAUAAGUAGUGUGAAUUGCAGAAUUCAGUGAAUCAUCGAAUCUUUGAACGCACAUUGCGCCCCUUGGUAUUCCAUGGGGCAUGCCUGUUCGAGCGUCAUUUGUACCUUCAAGCUUUGCUUGGUGUUGGGUGUUUGUCUCGCCUUUGCGUGUAGACUCGCCUUAAAAUAAUUGGCAGCCGGCGUAUUGAUUUCGGAGCGCAGUACAUCUCGCGCUUUGCACUCAUAACGACAGCGUCCAAAAGUACAUUUUAUACUCUUGACCUCGGAUCAGGUAGGGAUACCCGCUGAACUUAAGCAUAUCAAUAAGCGGAGGA
rnacentral:misc_RNA from 1 species